CGGGACGGGUGAGUAAUGUCUGGGAAACUGCCUGAUGGAGGGGGAUAACUACUGGAAACGGUAGCUAAUACCGCAUAACGUCGCAAGACCAAAGAGGGGGACCUUCGGGCCUCUUGCCAUCGGAUGUGCCCAGAUGGGAUUAGCUAGUAGGUGGGGUAACGGCUCACCUAGGCGACGAUCCCUAGCUGGUCUGAGAGGAUGAUCAGCCACACUGGAACUGAGACACGGUCCAG
rnacentral:rRNA from 1 species